CCCGCCUCAUACAGGGGGAUAACAGUUAGAAAUGACUGCUAAUACCGCAUAAGACCACGGUGCCGCAUGGCAGAGUGGUAAAACUCCGGUGGUAUGAGAUGGACCCGCGUCUGAUUAGGUAGUUGGUGGGGUAACGGCCUACCAAGCCGACGAUCAGUAGCCGACCUGAGAGGGUGACCGGCCACAUUGGGACUGAGACACGGCCCAAACUCCUACGGGAGGCAGCAGUAGGGAGUUUUCGGCAAUGGGGGGAACCCUGACCGAGCAACGCCGCGUGAGUGAUGAAGGUCUUCGGAUUGUAAAGCUCUGUUAUAAGGGAAGAAUGAUAGCUAGAGGAAAUGCUAGUUGUUUGACGGUACCUUAUUAGAAAGCCACGGCUAACUACGUGCCAGCAGCCGCGGUAAUACGUAGGUGGCAAGCGUUAUCCGGAAUUAUUGGGCGUAAAGAGUGAGUAGGCGGCAGGAUAAGUUUGAAGUGAAAGCGUGGGGCUCAACCCCAUACAGCUCCAAAAACUGUUCAGCUAGAGUGCGAGAGAGGUAAAUGGAAUUCCAUGUGUAGCGGUGAAAUGCGUAGAUAUAUGGAGGAACACCAGUGGCGAAGGCGAUUUACUAGCUCGAUACUGACGCUCAGUCACGAAAGCGUGGGGAGCAAAUAGGAUUAGAUACCCUAGUAGUCCACGCUGUAAACGAUGACAACUA
rnacentral:rRNA from 1 species